GACGUAGGGCGCGAGCGUUGUCCGGAUUUAUUGGGCGUAAAGAGCGCGCAGGCGGUCGUUCAAGUCGAGUGUGAAAGCCCCCGGCUCAACUGGGGAGGGUCACUCGAUACUGAUCGACUCGAAGGCAGAAGAGGGAAGCGGAAUUCCCGGUGUAGUGGUGAAAUGCGUAGAUAUCGGGAGGAACACCAGUGGCGAAGGCGGCUUUCUGGUCUGCUCUUGACGCUGAGGCGCGAAAGCUAGGGUAGCAAACGGG
rnacentral:rRNA from 1 species